rnacentral:rRNA from 1 species
GAUGAACGCUGGCGGCGUGCCUAAUACAUGCAAGUCGAGCGAACGGACGAGAAGCUUGCUUCUCUGAUGUUAGCGGCGGACGGGUGAGUAACACGUGGAUAACCUACCUAUAAGACUGGGAUAACUUCGGGAAACCGUAGCUAAUACCGGAUAAUAUUUUGAACCGCAUGGUUCAAAAGUGAAAGACGGUCUUGCUGUCACUUAUAGAUGGAUCCGCGCUGCAUUAGCUAGUUGGUAAGGUAACGGCUUACCAAGGCAACGAUGCAUAGCCGACCUGAGAGGGUGAUCGGCCACACUGGAACUGAGACACGGUCCAGACUCCUACGGGAGGCAGCAGUAGGGAAUCUUCCGCAAUGGGCGAAAGCCUGACGGAGCAACGCCGCGUGAGUGAUGAAGGUCUUCGGAUCGUAAAACUCUUUUAUUAGGGAAGAACAGAUUUGUAAUUAACUGGGCACAUCUUGACGGUACCUAAUCAGAAAGCCCCGGCUAACUACGUG